AAAAAGUUUUAUUUUAGCUUAAAAAAUUAGGUUUUAUUUUUAAUUAUAUGAAAAUUUUAGUGUGAUUUUAAAUUAAGUUUUGAAAAUUUAAUUUUUUAUUAAUUCUCAGUAAUUAGUAUUAUAUUAUCAAGUAAAUUUGGAUAUAGAAAUAAUUUUAAAUAUUAACUAAAUUUGUGCCAGCAGUUGCGGUUAGACAAAUAAUAUAAUUUAAUUUUUUUAGUUACAAUUAAUUGUUAUUAUUAAUUUUACAAUAAUUUUUAUUAAGUGAAAUUUUAAAAAUUUAAAAUAUUAAUUUUUGUUAAUGAAUUUGGUAAAUUUUGUUUAGAGACUAGGAUUAGAUACCCUAUUAUUCAAAAAGUAAUUUUUAUGCUAAAUUAGUAUUAGUUAAGAUCUUGAAAAUUAAAAAAUUUGGCGGUAUUUUAGUCUAUUCAGAGGAACUUGUCCUGUAAUUGAUAGUCCACGAUUUAUGCUACUUUUUUUUUUAAUUUAUAUAUCGUCGUAAUUAGAAAAUUUUAUAAAGAUUAUUAAUUUUCAAGAUUUUAAAUUAAAAAUUAAAUCAGAUCAAGAUGUAGUUGAUAAAAAAGAAGAGAUGAGUUACAUUUAAUUUAUUUAAGGAUAGUUAUUAGAAUAAUAAUUUGAAUUUGGAUUUGAAAGUAAUUUUAACUAAUUAGUUAAUUUGAUUUAAGCUCUAAAAUAUGUACAUAUCGCCCGUCGCUUUCAUUAUAAAAUGAAAUAAGUCGUAACAAAGUAGGCUUAUUGGAAAAUGAGCCUAGAAAUCA
rnacentral:ncRNA from 1 species